UGGGGAAUUUUGGACAAUGGGGGCAACCCUGAUCCAGCAAUGCCGCGUGUGUGAAGAAGGCCUUCGGGUUGUAAAGCACUUUUGUCCGGAAAGAAAUCCCUUGGGUUAAUACCUCGGGGGGAUGACGGUACCGGAAGAAUAAGCACCGGCUAACUACGUGCCAGCAGCCGCGGUAAUACGUAGGGUGCGAGCGUUAAUCGGAAUUACUGGGCGUAAAGCGUGCGCAGGCGGUUCGCUAAGACCGAUGUGAAAUCCCCGGGCUUAACCUGGGAACUGCAUUGGUGACUGGCGAGCUAGAGUGUGGCAGAGGGGGGUAGAAUUCCACGUGUAGCAGUGAAAUGCGUAGAGAUGUGGAGGAAUACCGAUGGCGAAGGCAGCCCCCUGGGCUAACACUGACGCUCAUGCACGAAAGCGUGGGGAGCAAACA
rnacentral:rRNA from 1 species